rnacentral:rRNA from 1 species
CUACGGGUCGCUCCAGUGGGGAAUAUUGCACAAUGGACGAAAGUCUGAUGCAGCAACGCCGCGUGGAGGAUGACACAUUUCGGUGCGUAAACUCCUUUUAUAGGUCAAGAUAAUGACGGUAGCCUAUGAAUAAGCGCCGGCUAACUCCGUGCCAGCAGCCGCGGUAAUACGGAGGGCGCAAGCGUUACUCGGAAUCACUGGGCGUAAAGAGCGUGUAGGCGGGUUAAUAAGUCAGAAGUGAAAUCCAAUGGCUCAACCAUUGAACUGCUUUUGAAACUGUUAACCUAGAGUAUGGGAGAGGUAGAUGGAAUUUCUGGUGUAGGGGUAAAAUCCGUAGAGAUCAGAAGGAAUACCGAUUGCGAAGGCGAUCCACUGGAACAUUACUGACGCUGAGACGCGAAAGCGUGGGGAGCAAACAGGAUUAGAUACCCUCGUAGUC